CCUCCCUCCCCUCCGUGUUAUUCGGCUAGGGUUUCGGGCGCCUCCCGUGUUCUUGCCCCCCUCUCUCUCGCGCGACCUCUCUGCCCCUGCCUCCGGUCUACCUCGCCGCCGCUGCCGCCAGAGGUAGCUCCCCCUCCCUUCCUUCCCCUUCCUCCUCCGCCCGCCCUUCUCUCUCCUGCUUCCUCCCGGCGGCCGAUGAUGGGCGCAGACGAGGAGGACCACCAGUCCCCCUCGUGGAAGCGCGAGCGCGAGGAGGAGGAGGAGCCCGCGGCCGCCGACAAGAAGCGCCGGCGCACGGCGGACGAGUCGGAGAGCGCCUCGCUGAUGGGGCUUGCCAACUACGCGGACGAGGAGGAGGAGGAGCGCGGGGCCCCGAGGGGGCACGGGAACGGCGGGCCCUGGGAGGAGGAGGAAGACGAUGAGGAUGAGGAGGAGGACGAGAGGAGGGCUCCGGAGAGGCGGCCCAGGCAGGUCGAGCUGCCCCUACCUCGACACUGUCAACCGACUAGCUUCGAUCUACCAUGUCCUUAGCGGCAGCAACAGAAUGUCUGAAGAAGCAUCUGCCAGUAUCAGUGCCAGAGGGACUGAACGAACUUCAAAUCAUCGUUGUGCGAUUCAAAGAGAAGAUUUAUACUACAGCGACCAGUCAGGUAAUUUAAUCCGUCUUGGCGGCUACUCGAAGCAGAGCACAGUUUAUUUUAUUUUUAGUUAUGGGGGUCAGACAAGGUUUAUGGGCUAAUAAUAGAGCAGAACUGUCUCCAAAUGUUGUAGAGGAUACUUUUUAAGUCAUGUUUAGUACCAUGUAUAACUAUGAUUCAAAUGUUAAAAGCUGAAGCACCUGCUCGAGCAUGCUAAAUUGCUAAUCAGCCAGAACUAUUGGUUGCAAGCCACCAUUAGUAAUUUGGUCCCAGGCGGUGGUCAUUGCGAUGACACACAUCAGGUCAGCUAAUUGCUUUUAUUUCUUUCAACCAGUAGUACGUAGCAGCUAUGGAGUGAGAUGUGCUAAUUAAUUUGUACCACCGUACGCUUACAGAGUUCCCCUUUCUUUUCUUUUUAUGUGUAACAGCCCAGAUGAUGUGCUUUACACUUACAACUCGUGCUGACUGAAUCGGAGCAAGCCUCCUGCCAGUUCCACCAUGUAACACUCUGCAGAGUUUCACAUCUAAGGUUGUCGAAAUAAGAUAGUGCUCUGUAGUGCAUUCCGAUUCAGCUGGGUACCCAGGAGCCCCACCAAUCUGCAGUAAUUAUUCAUCCCAUUGUCGGCAAUUACAAGAUGGGACCCAACUUCAAGAGAGGCCAAAUGGUUUCUCCAUACGGCGGAACAUCACGAGUACAGAGUAUAUACACAUGUGCAAAGCUCAGGCAGAAUCAGUGGCUGGGACUGGGAGAUGAUCGUCGUUCCAAGUAGCCUCUUGGAUGGUCGUCG